rnacentral:rRNA from 1 species
ACCUGCAGUUCAGCCUAAGUACACCAUCUGAAGCUAAGCAGGUGUUAGCAUGGCUAGUACUUGCAUGCGAGACCAACUAUGAAAGCUAGGUUGCUGCUGGAA